rnacentral:misc_RNA from 1 species
GACAGAGGGUGCGAACGUUGCUCGGAAUUACUGGGCGUAAAGCGCGUGUAGGCGGAUGCGCAAGUCCGUUGUGAAAUCCCUGGGCUCAACCCAGGAACUGCAUCGGAAACUGCAUAUCUUGAGUAAUGGAGAGGGAAGUGGAAUUCCCGGUGUAGAGGUGAAAUUCGUAGAUAUCGGGAGGAACACCAGUGGCGAAGGCGGCUUCCUGGACAUUUACUGACGCUGAGACGCGAAAGCGUGGGGAGCAAACAGG